rnacentral:rRNA from 1 species
AAUCAACGCUGGCGGCGUGCCUCAGACAUGCAAGUCGAACGCGAAAGUCCCCUUCGGGGGACAAGUAGAGUGGCGCACGGGUGAGUAACACGUAGGUAAUCUACCUUCGGAUGGGGAAUAACAAUCGGAAACGGUUGCUAAUACCGCAUAAUGCAGCGGCACCUAAUGGUGACAGUUGUUAAAGCGGGGGAUCGAAAGACCUCGCGUCUGAAGAGGAGCCUGCGGCGGAUAGCUAGUUGGUAAGGUAACGGCUUACCAAGGCGACGAUCCGUAGCCGGCCUGAGAGGGCGGUCGGCCACACUGACACUGACAUACGGGUCAGACUCCUACGGGAGGCAGCAGUCGGGAAUUUUGGGCAAUGGGCGAAAGCCUGACCCAGCAACGCCGCGUGAAGGAUGAAAUCCCUCGGGAUGUAAACUUCGCAAGAACGGGAAGAAUAAGUAGGGACAAUACCCCCUAUGAUGACGGUACCGUUUGUAAGCUCCGGCUAACUCCGUGCUAGCAGCAGCCGCCGU